AUUGAACGCUGGCGGCAUGCCUUACACAUGCAAGUCGAACGGCAGCAUGAUCUAGCUUGCUCGAUUGAUGGCGAGUGGCGAACGGGUGAGUAAUACAUCGGAACGUGCCCUGUAGUGGGGGAUAACUAGUCGAAAGAUUAGCUAAUACCGCAUACGACCUGAGGGUGAAAGUGGGGGACCGCAAGGCCUCAUGCUAUAGGAGCGGCCGAUGUCUGAUUAGCUAGUUGGUGAGGUAAAGGCUCACCAAGGCGACGAUCAGUAGCUGGUCUGAGAGGACGAUCAGCACAUGAGGGGAUGGGCAGCGGCCAAGCCUCCAAGGGGAGGCAGAGGGGGGAAAUUUUGGAAAAGGGGGGAAAGCCUGCACCAGCAACGCGGGGGGGGGGAAGAAGGCCUGCGGGUUGUAAAGCCUUUUUGUCGGGAAAAAAAGGGCUCUGGUUAAACCCUGGGGUCGAGACGGGAACCGGAAAAAAAAGGCCGGGUAACUUCGUG
rnacentral:rRNA from 1 species